GAUGAAGAACGUAGCGAAAUGCGAUAAGUAAUGCGAAUUGCAGAAUCCGUGAGUCAUCGAAUCUUUGAACGCACAUUGCGCCCUCUGGUAUUCCGGAGGGCAUGCCUGUUCGAGCGUCAUUAUCACCCCUCAAGCCCGGCUUGUUGUUGGAUGCAGCGCUUAUCCCGCUCCUCCCAAAGAUAAUGACGGCGUCUGCGACGACUCCUGUACACUGAGCUUUCGGGCACGUACACGGCUAGAAGUCCAGACCCGGUCGCCGUCCCCCCGCGGGGACACCCAUUACCACAAGGUUGACCUCGGAUCAGGUAGGAAUACCCGCUGAACUUAAGCAUAUCAAUAAGCGGAGGA
rnacentral:misc_RNA from 1 species